AUGAAACCUCAUGAAACUCCUGUUUGACCCAAGUCUACUUAAAGAAGUGGACUGGAAUCAGAAUACAGCUAUAUAUGCUCCAGUUAUUUCACCAACACAUCUCCCAGAAGGCUUGGUUUAAGGCCUCUUUGUCUACUGAUGAUAUGGGUUUUUUUUUUUUAAGGUAGUGGGUCAGCGAACUGCCACUGGAGUUGUCAACCUUGAUAAUGUAUAAAGCAUUUUGAGCAUACAAAGAAAUCUGUGGUUCAUUAUGUUACAGUUGUGGAAGAUGUGACUCGGUGACAGUGUUGCCAUGACAACUCUGAUAAUAGUACAUAAAUUCAUCCUUUCCUGUGCUAAGAGAGAAAGAGUAGAUGUUGUUAGCAGUGAAUGCAGAGGAAGACAGCUUGGCAAAUUGUUAUCAACUUGUAGUUUGCUAAGCAAGAAACUGAACUGUUAUAAGAUUACUCUUGAAUGUCUACCACAAAAUGUUGGUUUUUACAAAACAUUUGGAUACAUUGGAUCUGAAGAAAACUACAUAUGUCAGAGGUUUCUAAAGUAA
rnacentral:lncRNA from 1 species